GACUCUUAUCCUCUGUGACUACUCUCCUACC
rnacentral:piRNA from 1 species